rnacentral:rRNA from 1 species
CCUACGGUGGACAGCAGUGGGGAAUAUUGCACAAUGGGGGCAACCCUGAUGCAGCAACGCCGCGUGAGUGAAGACGUAAUUCGUUAUGUAAAGCUCUAUCAGCAGGGACGAAAAUGACGGUACUUGAGUAAGAAGCCCCGGCUAACUACGUGCCAGCAGCCGCGGUAAUACGUAGGGGGCAAGCAUUAUUCGGAUUUACUGGGAGUAAUGGGAGCGUAGACGGCAGUGCAAGUCUGGAGUGAAAGGCGUGGGUUCAACCCCCGGACUGCUCGGGAAACUGUACGGCUGGAGUGCAGGAGAGGUAAGUGGAAUUCCUAGUGUAGCGGUGAAAUGCGUAGAUAUUAGGAGGAACACCAGUGGCGAAGGCGGCUUACUGGACUGUAACUGACGCUGAGGCUCGAAAGCGUGGGGAGCAAACAGGAUUAGAUACCCGGGUAGUC